GAACGCGAAGAACUUACCCGGGCUUGAAUUGCAGAGGAAGGAUUUAGAGAUAAUGACGCCUUCGGGGCCUCUGUGAAGGUGCUGCAUGGUUGUCGUCAGCUCGUGCCGUGAGGUGUCGGCUUAAGUGCCAUAACGAGCGCAACCCCUCUCUUCAGUUGCCAUCAGGUUAAGCUGGGCACUCUGGAGACACUGCCACCGUAAGGUGUGAGGAAGGUGGGGAUGACGUCAAAUCAGCACGGCCUUACGUCCGGGGCUACACACGUGUUACAAUGGCCGGUACAGAGGGAUGGUGUAAUGCAAAUUGCAUCAAAUCUUGAAAGCCGGUCCCAGUUCGGACUGGGGUCUGCAACCCGACCCCACGAAGCUGGAUUCGCUAGUAAUCGCGCAUCAGCCAUGGCGCGGUGAAUACGUUCCCGGGUCUUGUACACACC
rnacentral:rRNA from 1 species